rnacentral:rRNA from 1 species
UGUUUGGAGAGUUUGAUCCUGGCUCAGGACGAACGCUGGCGGCGUGCUUAACACAUGCAAGUCGAACGGAAAGGCCCUUCGGGGUACUCGAGUGGCGAACGGGUGAGUAACACGUGGGCAAUCUGCCCUGCACACCGGGAUAAGCCUGGGAAACUGGGUCUAAUACCGGAUAGGACCACUUGGCGCAUGCCUUGUGGUGGAAAGCUUUUGCGGUGUGGGAUGGGCCCGCGGCCUAUCAGCUUGUUGGUGGGGUGACGGCCUACCAAGGCGACGACGGGUAGCCGGCCUGAGAGGGUGUCCGGCCACACUGGGACUGAGAUACGGCCCAGACUCCUACGGGAGGCAGCAGUGGGGAAUAUUGCACAAUGGGCGCAAGCCUGAUGCAGCGACGCCGCGUGGGGGAUGACGGCCUUCGGGUUGUAAACCUCUUUCACCAUCGACGAAGGUCCGGGUUUUCUCGGAUUGACGGUAGGUGGAGAAGAAGCACCGGCCAACUACGUGCCAGCAGCCGCGGUAAUACGUAGGGUGCGAGCGUUGUCCGGAAUUACUGGGCGUAAAGAGCUCGUAGGUGGUUUGUCGCGUUGUUCGUGAAAUCUCACGGCUUAACUGUGAGCGUGCGGGCGAUACGGGCAGACUAGAGUACUGCAGGGGAGACUGGAAUUCCUGGUGUAGCGGUGGAAUGCGCAGAUAUCAGGAGGAACACCGGUGGCGAAGGCGGGUCUCUGGGCAGUAACUGACGCUGAGGAGCGAAAGCGUGGGGAGCGAACAGGAUUAGAUACCCUGGUAGUCCACGCCGUAAACGGUGGGUACUAGGUGUGGGUUUCCUUCCUUGGGAUCCGUGCCGUAGCUAACGCAUUAAGUACCCCGCCUGGGGAGUACGGCCGCAAGGCUAAAACUCAAAGGAAUUGACGGGGGCCCGCACAAGCGGCGGAGCAUGUGGAUUAAUUCGAUGCAACGCGAAGAACCUUACCUGGGUUUGACAUGCACAGGACGCGUCUAGAGAUAGGCGUUCCCUUGUGGCCUGUGUGCAGGUGGUGCAUGGCUGUCGUCAGCUCGUGUCGUGAGAUGUUGGGUUAAGUCCCGCAACGAGCGCAACCCUUGUCUCAUGUUGCCAGCGGGUAAUGCCGGGGACUCGUGAGAGACUGCCGGGGUCAACUCGGAGGAAGGUGGGGAUGACGUCAAGUCAUCAUGCCCCUUAUGUCCAGGGCUUCACACAUGCUACAAUGGCCGGUACAAAGGGCUGCGAUGCCGCGAGGUUAAGCGAAUCCUUUUAAAGCCGGUCUCAGUUCGGAUCGGGGUCUGCAACUCGACCCCGUGAAGUCGGAGUCGCUAGUAAUCGCAGAUCAGCAACGCUGCGGUGAAUACGUUCCCGGGCCUUGUACACACCGCCCGUCACGUCAUGAAAGUCGGUAACACCCGAAGCCAGUGGCCUAACCCUCGGGAGGGAGCUGUCGAAGGUGGGAUCGGCGAUUGGGACGAAGUCGUAACAAGGUAGCCGUACCGGAAGGUGCGGCUGGAUCACCUCCUUU